CUCAGCCUCCCAAGCAGCUGGGACUAUAGGCGCCCGCCACCUCUCCCGGCUAGUUUUUUGUGUUUUUUAGUAGAGACGGGGUUUCACCGUGUUAGCCAGGAUGGUCUCGAUCUCCUGACCUCGUGAUCCGCCCGCCUCGGCCUCCCAAAGUGCUGGGAUUACAGGCUUGAGCCACCGCGCCCGGCCGGUUUUUUUUUUUUUUUAGAGUUUUGCUCUUGUUGCCCGGGCUGGAGUACAAUGGCACGAUCUCAGCUCACCACAACCUCCGCCUCCUGGGUUCAAGUGAUUCUCCUGCCUCAGCCUCCCAAGUAGUUGGGAUUACAGGCGCAUGCCACCACACCAACUAAUUUUUGUAUUUUUAGUAGAGAUGGGGUUUCACCAUGUUGGCCAGGCUGGUCUCAAACUCCUGACCUUGUGAUCUACCUGCCUUAGCUUCCCAAAGUGCUGGGGUUACAGGUGUGAACCACCAUACCUGGCCCAGCGUUUUCACAUUUCUAACACAGUGAUGGCCACAUGUUUAUUGAC
rnacentral:lncRNA from 1 species